CCACCGGCAGCUCUAGUGGUAGCAGUUUUUAUUGGGCCUAAAGCGUCCGUAGCCGGUUUAAUAAGUCUCUGGUGAAAUCCUGUAGCUUAACUGUGGGAAUUGCUGGAGAUACUAUUAGACUUGAGACCGGGAGAGGUUAGAGGUACUCCCAGGGUAGAGGUGAAAUUCUGUAAUCCUGGGAGGACCGCCUGUUGCGAAGGCGUCUAACUGGAACGGUUCUGACGGUGAGGGACGAAAGUUAGGGGCGCGAACCGGAUUAGAUACCCGGGUAGUCCUAACUGUAAACGAUGCGGACUUGGUGUUGGGGUGGCUUUGAGCUGCUCCAGUGCCGAAGGGAAGCUGUUAAGUCCGCCGCCUGGGAAGUACGGUCGCAAGACUGAAACUUAAAUGAAUUGGCGGG
rnacentral:rRNA from 1 species